rnacentral:rRNA from 1 species
UGCGUAGGUGGUUUAGUAAGUUAUGUGUGAAAUCCCCGGGCUUAACCUGGGAGGGUCAGAUAAUACUGCUGAACUAGAGUAUGAGAGAGGGUAGUGGAAUUUCCGGUGUAGCGGUGAAAUGCGUAGAGAUCGGAAGGAACACCAGUGGCGAAGGCGGCUACCUGGCUCAAUACUGACACUGAGGCACGAAAGCGUGGGGAGCAAACA